GAUCCCCUUCUGUGACACGGUGACCCACUGAGUGGAUGAGGGGAGUGCUUUGGAUGUUUUCUACCUGGACUUCAGUGAAGCCUUUGACACCAUUUCCCACAGCACCUCCUGGAGCCACUGGCUGCUCAUGGUUUGGACAGUCCCUUGUCCUCAGCCACAUGGCUGCUCCACAGAUGGAGGAUGAGGAAUGGCUGUAAUCCUUGGUUUAGAGGGUUUUGCUGAGCUCAUCCCUAUGGAGGAGGACUGGAAUCACUGCCAGCCAUUAAAGGGAUGUGCCAAGGAGUGACUCAGGACAUGUCAGCAGAGUUGCACUCCUGGACCAGGAGGUACCUGCAACUGCUACAGUUUGCAGCCCUGCAAACCCUGCUGGGAGAGGAUGAGGAGCAGCCGAGCCCUGCCUGAUGUGACAGUCCUACUCCAACCCACCCUCGAGCAGCCUCAGAGCCACCCCCUUUUGGGAGAGGUGAAGCCCUGGUUCAAGCACUGCAAGCUGAAGUUCUCCAGUCUGCUGGCUACCCCCAAGCCUGCAUCCCCUGCCCUAUCUCCUCCAUCUCUCCAGCAACGAGAACAGCUCCAUCCCUGCUGAGUGACAAGCUGUAAAUCCUUGUGAGGACUUGCUGGAAGAAGGGACUGGAGGUUUGCAGAGAAGCCCUGCGAGGAAAAGCUGGCUUCCCACUGGGGCCUGAUUUUGUAAAGGGGUGAUGUGAUCAAGCAUGUGAAGGAACAGAAUCCUGUUGUUUUGACCUGUUACAUGUCAGUCCACUUAAAUCUGAAAACUCAGCUUGGACAAGCAUCUCUGUUGGUGAACAAGGAACAGACUGGAGGAGAAUUGGCCAAAAAGAGGGAGGUUCAUUGCACGUCUCCUCCUGAGCAGUGUCCAUGCCAGGCCAGCACCUCUUCCCCUGGGAGGAUGGAGAGCACCUACCCAGAGUGACAGUGGUGGUGAUUUAUUCCCUCUCUUGCAAAAGACCAGCUCUUCUGGCCAACAAUAAGAAACAAAUGGAGGUGGGUGUUUGCCUUGUGGAGCCAACCCAGGUAAGUAGAAAGCUCCAGCUGCUUUUGCAUUCCACUGAUGAUGGAGAAGCACCUCCAGACUGACCCAGUUUGGCUCCCAGCAGCAUCAGCCUGAACUGUGCUCAUCUGAGCCCUCACAUGCCGUGGUGGGGCCCUCACCCUCUUCCUCACUCAGCUGUGCCCUCUUAGCUGUCACGGGUGCUCCCCAUGAAGCCCAGAAAAGGCUCAUUUUGCUGAUCACUCCUUUUGCUGGUCACCACUUCUUGCUGCAGCUCCCAGUUUUAUACCUGGCUGCAGCUGGUCCCUGCUAAAGGACCAUGGUGGGAUCUGUCUCUGAAAAUUUAAUGCAGCUUUAAGAAGUCCCUGGAGGUUUUCCUUUCCGAUGAGCUUCUUCAUCAUGCUGUUUAUCCCUGGAUGCAUAAGAAGCAAGUGAAAUCACAGACUGCAGUAGUGCAUGCCCCACCUUGAAAGAGAUGGCUUCUUCCUGGUCCUACUGUAUGGCUGCUAAGGAGAGCUGGCCUGGUCCUCAUCACCCUGGGAUUUAUUCACUGUUCUUGGUGAGGACUUGCAGAGAUCUUGUAUAAGCAGGAAAUCUGGGAUAUCCUGGGGGAGAAAGGAAUACUGAAGAAAUAAAUGCACUUGUAACUAGCAGUAGAGGGCUGGAGCCUACACUGGACUGCAUCAACCAUGGCUCUGCCGCUGCUGUCUUGAAGACCUCCAAGGGUGGAGAUGCCACAGCCUGUCUGGUAGCCUGUUCCAGUCUUCUGGUAAAGAAGUUUUUGUUGAUGCUCAGUCUAAUCUCCAAGUGACAGCUUGUGGACAUUGCCUUGAUCACUGCUGAUAAUGAGAAGUGCUUGACUUCAUCACCUUUUUUAAUGCCUUUGCAGAGAGGGCUACUAUUAGGACCUGCCUUAACCUCAUCAGCCUCAGACCCAGCAAGCCUAAUGCCUUCAAGCUCUCCUCACGGGAGAGGUGGUCUGUGCCCCGAGUAAGGUUCACCUGCUGGAUCUGUCCAAAUUCUCCACCUUGAGCAGGAGGCUCAAACAGGUGUAGCUCCACCAGCACCAAGGAGAAGGGGCGAUAGUUUUCCUUGAUCUCAUGCAUUAUGAGGACUGGUUUGCCUCAUUUGUGGCAAGGGGGAACUGUUGUUUUUGUACUUAAUCUUUCAAGACAACACUUGGAUCCUCCUCAUUCGGGCUGCUCAGCAGUCAGCUGGUUCCCAGCCUGAACUGCUGCAUGGGGUUAUUCCAGCGUGGUGCAGAGCUUUGCAUGGCUCCGCAAAACUCAGUGAGGCUUCUCAUGGCCUCAAGUUUCCCAAGGUCCUGCUGAUCAAAGCAGGGUGCUCAGUAUGCCAACCACCCCACCCAGUUUGGUGGUGCCUGCAAAUCUCCACAGGGAGUCUUCUGCCUCUUGUUCAGGCUCUUAGGACUCCCUUUCCAUGAGUAGAGAGGACACAGCCUUGGUCUGUGGGAUCUAUGGACUAGACAUCUUCUGGCAUCCUUCUGCUUUCCCACACCCACCCUUGGCAAAGCUGGCUGAAGCAGUCAGCUCCUGCUGCAGCCUGGCUCCUGGCCUCUCCUCUCCCUGCAAGUGCUGACACCAGUGUUUGGGGCAGGGUGGCAGACCAGGCUGGUGGGCGGAUGUGGGAUACACUCAGCCAUCACAGAUAUUUUUGGCCCAGCGACAAUUUUUCAGCUAUGAGGCAAAGCCUCCUCAGGCAGCAGAGCUGUGAGCAGAGCUGGGCUGUUGUCAGCUCUGAGUGAUGAUGCUGCACCUCCUGCCACUGCUGCCCACAAAGCACCAGGCAGUGACGGUCCCCUCUCUGCCACCCUGGUGUGUGAGGGUGUGCAGGUCAGGAGCACAGCACAGACGGUGACCUCAGGCAGAGGGACCAUAACUAACCCCCAGCCAAGUUCUAGGCACAGCUGUUUGCAGAGUCAGUGUCUGCUGCUGGCCAAAAAGUACAUGAUUUUUUUUUUUCUGCUGUUCCUUUCCUCUUUUUAUUCUUUUUUUUUUUUUUGUAAGUCAUAUGCUGCUUUCCUACUUGUGCUGCUGGCUCUGGAGGUUUCUCUUGCAGCAAUGUAAACAUAGCUACUGUGUGUCCCCACGAUUGCAGCCUGUAGCUCACAAUGAGACAGCCAAUGCCAAUAGAUGUAUAAUGAGCAUUUAAAAAGCACUUAUUUUGUCAUCCAAUCAUCCAUCUUCCUCAUUGUGUAAAUUUUGUUUUUUUGUUUCCACAACAAAAUGACUUUAAAAGAAACGUUCACCAGGAAGAAAGAAAAUUUUGAUUCUGGUGAUAAAAUCAGGACAGUCAAAAUGAUUAAUAUGACAUUGGGGAGAGCUCGCAAAUGUGGCUUAAUUUCUGCGGCAAAAAGACCUCGUGGAUACAUCAGUGCUAUGUUGUGCCUGGAAAUUUAGUGGCAGCUGGAAAUUUGAUGGUGACCUCUGAUAAGUAAGAAAAUGGUGAGGGUUUUAAUGAAUGACUUGAAUAAGAAAAUAAGCCAGUCUGUGUGGUAUUCUUCCUGAUAUUUGUUUUGCUAUUAAGUUCAGUUAAUGUGGUUCUCAUUGUGUCAGGAUGAUUGUGUUGACAGCACAUCACAACAUGUGAGCAUGGGGCAGUUUGACUGUCAGGGAAGGGGACACAUUGCUCCACACUCACGAGGUGGAGCAGGGAGGUGACUUGAAUAAGAUGGAUUUUGGAAGCCUUUGGCAGGAGACGUCAGAGAUUGUAAUGACAGAAAGAGUCCUGGUGAGCUCCUUUGCUCUCCGUGAAAAAAAUUAGUCUGUAAUUAUAUCUAGAAAAUAGGGAUGGCGGGAGGUGGCUUUAACCACAAAGUUUGGGAAAGUUACACUCAUGGUGGCUUGCAUUCUCUGCAGUCUGUUCUUAGCCUCACUUCAUUAACUUGCAGUGUUUAUUCUGUGGCUCUGGUAUCUUUGUUGUGAGGUUCAGGAGCAUAUUUUAUGAAAUGUUGAUUUUCCAUGUGAGUAUUUAUAGACUAUGUUUGAGUCACCUGUUAAUCUUCCUCUUGUAAAACCAGAAUAAGCUCAGUGUUUCUGUCAGUAUAAUGCACACUUUCAAGACCUUGUUCAUUCUCAGUUUUUCCAGUUCAGUGUCCUCCUUCUUGGCUGUAACACCACAACUACAUCCAUGCUCCUGGUGGUAGCCACUGCCCAGAGCUUCUGUUCAGCAGAGAGCAAUGGGAACCCAUCUAGGCUGGUUUCCAUCUGAAAAGUGGACCAUUUUGUCAAAGGCAAAGCAAUGGUGGUUUUUUUAAUUUUUUUUUUAAUUUAAAGCAAUAAGAGCUGUGUAAAAGCUGUUCCUUUCUUCAUUCAUAAUAUUGCAGUUGAUAAAACCUCAGGUUUGCAGUCCUUUCUGUUUUCUGGUGCCUUCAGUUUUCCAGGGAAAGUUGAGCAAAUUUAUCCAGUCAUAGCCUAGUCACAAUUCUUGGUUAUCUUCAGAGCUCCAUCCUGAAUAACUGGCUGCUUUUGGGAGCUCUUGGGUACACUACAAUGUUCACCCUUGAUCCUUCAAGUUUAUCUGGGGCUUUGUGAACACAAAAUUGCUAAACUGAUACAGAACAUCCCAUCAGACUUCCCAGAGGCAACUCAGAUGUUUGUGAUGGAAGUCAUAAAGGUAUAGGGAUGUUCAGUUUCUUUUCAGUGCCAUGCAAGUGAAGUGUUUCACUCCUUUUACAGAUCUGUAGCCAUCUCUACAGUGUUACAAUGCUCAAAUCCAUGUAGACCUUUGGCUAAUGGGAACAUUGUUCUUCCAGAGCAGAAAGGUCACUUCCAGCAGAAAUGACUGUAUCUCAGUCACUUCACUCCAAAGUCUGCUAGUUUGGUUCCAGGUGCUGAAAAGCUGAUCAAAACCUCUUGACUCUCCCGUGAAGCAGAUGAAAGAUGUUUCCCACUCAGUGCUUAGCUAAUGGGAUUGCAAUGAACAAAGCAGCAGAAUGAAGCUUUGGACUGAACUCACAGGCACACUACUUGGGUUUCCAGGUACAAAUAUCCACAGGAAAAGACACUUGUUUUUUUAAAUACCUUUUUUCAACACAAAAAGUAUCCCAAGGUCCCUUCAUAGCAUUACCUCAAGUAGAAAAAUCCAUCAAACAAAAUAUUCAAUCAAUCCCUCUUAAUCAUAUGAUCAAAGUAUUUUACCAUGGCAAAUUGAACAACAUCUAAAAUGAGAGAUGAAAAGCAAUGAGCACAGCAAAGAAAUUACUUUAAUCUGGGAGGAAGUAGGAGAGUAAAGGGAAGUUUGGGUGACAAAGCUGUGGUGGAGAAGACUUCUUCACUGAGGAGUUAAGAUAAGAGGAAGAGCAGAUGCUGGGAGCCCCAGAGAGAGAGGUGUGAAGAUGAUUUGGCCUACGUGAUGUGGUGGGUUCUGAAGGCCAGGAGAAGGUAUUUGAUGUUGUGGUACAAACUUGCACACUGGGGGAAGAGCAGCAGUUAAACCAUAAAAUGGCUGAGAUUUCUUUCAGGAGAGGCAGACAAGGAACAAAGAGGUAUUUUUCUUCAACAGAUUUGACUUAGAAAGGAAUGGGAAAGACAGGAAUGUUUAAAAGACAGAGGUGCUGCCAGAGUCUCUGUAAAAUUAAUUAGUAAAUUUCACUUUAUUUUCUACACUCAUCAACAGGCUAGAGAGGAAAUGACUGGAAUAAUUUUAAAGUAAUUUUCACUCCAACACAUGUACUUUCUAGAAGGAUAGUAAAGAAAAUAUAUCAUGCCAGACUUGAUGGGAUCCUUUGUUUCAUACAGUGUGGCAAUUUACUUUUACACUGGAGUUCAUAUUUCCCCAGUAGGUGCAGCAAACUACUUAAACUGUGGAAGGAUAUUACUAUUUAGAGAAGUCCUUGGACAGCUCUGCAAACUUUGCCUUGUUUCUCUGUCCAAGAGCUAUAUAUAGUCUUUGCUUAAUCAAGGUCUCAGAUGUUGUGUGAGCACAGCUAAAUAUUUUCGAGAGUAUAAAAAAGAUAACUCCAGCCAUUUUGCUUUGCCAGAGCCAGUGUUUGUCUAACUGUGUAGUAACCGAGGAUACUGUAAAUCAAUUGCACAUUGAUUUGUGCAAUUUCUUACUCUGAAAUUAACAAGCAGAUAUAAACAAUGCAUCCUAAAAACUUUUAGAUUCAUAAGAUCUCUGUAAAACUGCUUAGUUACCUUUCAGGCUACCUUGUUCUUUAACUCAAGAUACGAAACCCCAAUGACCAUCAUUAUAUUGCAUCUGACUCUAAUGGGCUU